GAGAGAAGAGGCCAGAAGCCUUUCAGCCUUUGCUUGUUUCUUUGUUCAUUAUCGUCUUUAAUGAGGGUUAGAUGUUGCCUAGUUAUGGCUGUCUUCUAAUCUAGUAGCUUUAAAAAAUGUUUUUUUUAUUGUGCAUAUUUAUUUAGUCAACAACCAAGUGGUCAAGAACUCGCAGCAGUUUACAUUCAGAUGCAUGUCCCAGAUUAAACCAAGGAAUCCUCUUGUAAAGAAGCAUUCUCUACUCCCUGAUUGGUUAGUCGUCUCUACACUCUGAUACUAGUACCUUGGUGUGACCUGAGGCUCAGCCGACGUCAUGGCUAUCUCUCCCACCGUAACCCUUCACCUGGACGAUGGUGUGGUGCGUGGUCUGGACCUGCAGUCCUGUGCUGCCCAGCUGUGUAAAGGACAUGGUCACUGUGUGGCUCAGGGACAGGCCACCACCUGUGAGUGUAUCCUGGGGUACAGAGGAGAGUUCUGCCAUGAGAGUGUCAAUGAGGCAAUCAGUGUUCCUCUCACCCUGGGGGUAUUGGCCUUUAUCGUUGGCAUCCUCAUCCUCUCCUUCAUCAUUGCUUUCAUCAGGCGAAGGGUCAAGGUCAAAAGGAAAGCUGCAGCCAAGGAUUGCAAUGGUUUAGAGAAAGACAUUCUGUAGCACCACCAUACUCAAGGUUUGGUUGACGGUCCAACAUCAGAGCACAUCCCCUUCAUCAGGCUUUAUCCCCGGUAUAAACAAUUAUAUACUGUAGUACUAUUUAUAUGAACAACUAUAUACUGUAGUACUAUUUAUAUAAACAAUUAUAUACUGUAGUACUAUUUAUAUAAACAAUUAUAUACUGUAGUACUAUUUAUAUAAACAACUAUAUACUGUAGUACUAUUUAUAUAAACAACUAUUUAUAUAAACAACUAUA